ensembl:lncRNA
CAUUACCUUCAGUAAGUAUGAAAACAAUACAAAAACAAAGCCCAAACCUGGUCAUUUUAAGCAAUUUAGAAAUCCCACUCAGGACUUGUCAUUACAUUUUCUGCUGUUUAGAUGUUUAUUGCAUUAUUGUAGUGUCAUGUAUGUUACCCUGGUGUUUUUCCUUGUCUCUGCAGUGACACAAGAAUUAGCCAUGUUUUAUGGAGAAGUGAACUCUGAUUCAUCAUGUGACUUUAUAUUUUACCACUUGUGUUCACAUGUUCGCCUGCCCAUUCAACCCUGCCAGGUAAUGGAAAACGAGCUUGGCUUGCUGUCAGUGAAGGAGGCUCGAACCCGAGGCUCAGCUCCGACAGGAAAUCCUGGCUAAUACCUGCAUUUGAUGGCAGCAGUGACUGGCCUGGUCCCCCAUGAGCUGCCCUACUUCCAUGUAAUGUAAACGAUAGUAUAUCAAACUACACAGCCAGAUGCUUGAUGGGUCAGCGUAAAGGAGAACUGGAAGAUGGGGCAGCAUUGCAUUGCUUGGCAAAGCUGAUGUAACACACAGAAAGACAGAAAGACAUCAUAUGCUGAUUGGAGUGUAACAAAGCGUUACUAUACAACUUAUAUAGCUGUAAAUAAAGGCAUGCUCUUCAAUAAAUAAUGACA